rnacentral:rRNA from 1 species
GAUGAACGCUGGCGGCGUGCCUAAUACAUGCCAGUCGAGCGAACGGACGAGGAGCUUGCUUCUCUGAUGUUAGCGGCGGACGGGUGAGUAACACGUGGAUAACCUACCUAUAAGACUGGGAUAACUUCGGGAAACCGGAGCUAAUACCGGAUAAUAUAUUGAACCGCAUGGUUCAAUAGUAAAAGACGGUCUUGCUGUCACUUAUAGAUGGAUCCGCGCUGCAUUAGCUAGUUGGUAAGGUAACGGCUUACCAAGGCAACGAUGCGUAGCCGACCUGAGAGGGUGAUCGGCCACACUGGAACUGAGACACGGUCCAGACUCCUACGGGAGGCAGCAGUAGGGAAUCUUCCGCAAUGGGCGAAAGCCUGACGGAGCAACGCCGCGUGAGUGAUGAAGGUCUUCGGAUCGUAAAACUCUGUUAUUAGGGAAGAACAUAUGUGUAAGUAACUGUGCACAUCUUGACGGUACCUAAUCAGAAAGCCACGGCUAACUACGUG